rnacentral:rRNA from 1 species
AGCAGCCGCGGUAAUUCCAGCUCCAAUAGCGUAUAUUAAAGUUGUUGCAGUUAAAAAGCUCGUAGUUGAAUUUCGGGAUCAGUUCGCUGGUCGUGCCUCUGGUAUGUACUGGUGUUACUGGUUCCUCCCUUCUGACGAACUGUCAUGUCAUUAAUUUGGUGUGGCGGGGAAUCAGGACUGUUACUUUGAAAAAUUAGAGUGUUUAAAGCAGGCUCGCGCUUGAAUACAUUAGCAUGGAAUAAUGAAAUAGGACGUUCGAUCCUAUUUUGUGGUUUCUAGGAUUGACGUAAUGAUUAAUAGGGAUAGUUGGGGGCAUUAGUAUUCAAUUGUCAGAGGUGAAAUUCUUGGAUUUAUUGAAGACUAACUACUGCGAAAGCAUUUGCCAAGGAUGUUUUCAUUAAUCAAGAACGAAAGUUAGGGGAUCGAAGACGAUCAGAUACCGUCGUAGUCUUAACCAUAAACUAUGCCGACUAGGGAUCGGGAUGAUGUUUAUUUUUAAUGUAACUCAUUCGGUACCG